rnacentral:rRNA from 1 species
AUUGAACGCUGGCGGCAUGCCUAACACAUGCAAGUCGAACGGUAACGACGGGAGCUUGCUCCCGGGCGACGAGUGGCGGACGGGUGAGUAACACUUAGGAAUCUGCCCAGUAGUGGGGGACAACCAGGAGAAAUCCUGGCUAAUACCGCAUACGCACUACGGUGGAAAGUGGGGGAUCUUCGGACCUCACGCUAUUGGAUGAGCCCGCGUCGGAUUAGCUUGUUGGUGAGGUAACGGCUUACCAAGGCGACGAUCCGUAGCUGGUCUGAGAGGACGAUCAGCCACACUGGGACUGAGACACGGCCCAGACUCCUACGGGAGGCAGCAGUGGGGAAUAUUGGACAAUGGGCGCAAGCCUGAUCCAGCAAUGCCGCGUGUGUGAAGAAGGCCCUAGGGUUGUAAAGCACUUUCAGUUGGGAAGAAACGCAGGGUGUUAAUACCACCCUGUAAUGACGUUACCGACAGAAGAAGCACCGGCUAACUCCGUG